UAAGCAGAAAGUGCCUGAAAUGUUACCGAAUUACGGCAAGUCGGAAAGGAUGCAGCAGUUCCAAAAUCAAUCAAAAAGUAUGCUUUACACAGCGUAUAAGGGUGAUGUCACAGCACAACGGGAAUCUAACAGGGGAAGAGGUGAAAGUAAUCCUCCUCCUCCCACGACCAUGCCGGCAAGGACAGGACGCUUUACAGACGUGUUGUUGAUGGAGGACAUGCGGAGCUUUUUAAGUCCU